rnacentral:lncRNA from 1 species
AGGGGAUCUUCUUUUCCUUUUGUAUAAUGCCUCCAGAGAAUGCUUUUGCAAGCAUCCCACUUUGGUAUGGUAGGUGUUGGAAAAUCCCACCACUCCAGCUGUGGGGUUGCGGCUGCUUGGGGACUUCCAAUGCAUUGCUUUUUAUGGAGAAGUCUUGGGCCUUUUAGGAGGGCUUGUUUCUUCUCUCACCCAAUGUAGCCUCCCGAUCCUCCUUAAAGGAAUAAUCAAGAGAUAGA